AAGAGCCGUAUGAACCGAGAGGUUCACGUACGGUUCUGUGAGAGCCUGAGGGGGUGGUUCCCUCGGGCUACUCGAC
rfam:Halomonas sp. BC04 BC04_c8, whole genome shotgun sequence.